UUUAGAAUGUUUUUUCUUCAGUUUCUUCUGCAGUUGUAAAUAUAUCAGUUGAAGAUAAGUCUUUGCACAAGCUGUAUCAAAAUGUUCACUAUCUUAAUUGUAGUAAGAGAGCACUCUCCACUUUCAGGUCAAAGAUUGUUUCUUAAAUAGCUGGAUUUUGCUUGAAAAUAAACUGUUCUUUCACUGUAUUUCUCAACCAUGGUAGAGGGGGAGGAAUGCUGAAGAAAGAACUGGAAUCAACAGUCAAUUUUCCCUUGACAGAACACUGGCCUUGCAGCCUCUGCCCAAGGGAGUACUCGUUUUAAAAAUUUCUGAACUGAAGGGGAAAAUUAACAAGGCCGAAAGAAGCCUCUAGUGGCAAAUGAGUUCUCUAUCAAAGCUAGAUGAUCCAUGACCUUCCCGAUGAUGACUUCUGCUUCUGGAUCUUCUGGGAGACCUCCUGGGACUGAUGGAUCGUCUUGGAGACCUUUUAAAACAAGAGAUAUCAAACAUGAAACACCACCUUCUGAAGUUAAGGGACCCUGUUUAGUUUCCUAUCUAUACUUUAUGUGAACAAUCUUCAUUUAAUCUUAAAUACCAAAUAUUGUCUGAUUAUUUUGAUCCAUUAGCAUCCAUAAACUGUUUGUCUUUUGCCUUAAAGCCUA